CUUCUUCUUCCUCCUCCCUCUCCUCCCCUUCUCUUCCUCCUCCUCCUCCUCUCCUUCUCCCCCUCCUCCUUUCUUUAGACAGUCUAACUACACAGCCCAAGCUAUCCUGGAACUCACUAAAUAGUUUGGCAUAACUUUGAACAUAUGCUCCCUCAGCCUCUGGAAUGCUUUUCCAGAGAGCUAAGGAAGAGGGCAAUCUUGAAAGGCCUUGGGGAGCCAACCUCUGCUGAGCCUCCACAACGCCCCACACAGUUUGCUUAGACAAGGCCAAGGCCAGGACAAGUCCUCUUCAGGCUGCCUGGGGAGCCUCUGAUCCUUCAGUAUCUUUCUAGGGGUGUGACCCUGGUGCAUGCCUGGUGCUGUCAGAGGUCAGAAGAAGGUGUUGGAGUCCCUGCAAAUGGAGUGAUGGAUGGCUGUGAGCUGCCAUCUCGGGAUGACCUUAAACUCUUGAUCCUCCUGCCUCAACCUUCUUAUUGCCACUAUACCCAAGUGAUUCGGUGCCGAGGAUCUAACCCAGAGCUGUGUGUAUACUAGGUGUUUUGUCUGCAUGUAUGUCAGUGCUCCACAGGCAUGCUUGGUGCCUACGGAGGCCAGAAGAGGACAUCAGGUCCCCUGUGAGUUACAGAUAGCUGCGAGCUGCCACGUGGGU